UGUGGUCAACUCAGCAAUCGGUGCUGUGCUUGUGUGGGUGGGGGGCCCCGUGCUUCCAGUGGUGGGUGUUGGGGUUGGGGUCACCGUAGUGGUGGUGCUGAUGGGUAUCGUUGUUGGGGUCUGUGUGCCGGUGGGUGUUGGGGUUGGGGUCACCGUGGUGGUGGUGGUGAUGGGUGUCAUGGUUGGGGUCUGUGUGCCGGUGGGUGUUGGGGUUGGGGUCACCGUAGUGGUGGUGGUGAUGGGUGUCAGGGUUGGGGUCUGUGUGCCGGUGGGUGUUGGGGUUGGGGUCACCGUAGUGGUGGUGGUGAUGGGUGUUGGUGUUGUACUCUGUGUGCUGGUGGGUGUUGGGGUUGGGGUCACCGUAGUGGUGGUGGUGAUUGGUGUCGGAGUUGGGUUCUCUGUCGGGGUGGUGGUGGUGGUGGUAGUGGU
rnacentral:lncRNA from 1 species